rnacentral:rRNA from 1 species
GGGUUGUGAGGUUAAGCGACUAAGCGUACACGGUGGAUGCCCUGGCAGUCAGAGGCGAUGAAGGACGUGCUAAUCUGCGAUAAGCGCCGGUUUAGUGGAAGCGUCUGGAAAGGCGCGCGAUACAGGGUGACAGCCCCGUACACAAAAGCGCAUGUGCUGUGAGCUCGAUGAGUAGGGCGGGACACGUGGUAUCCUGUCUGAAUAUGGGGGGACCAUCCUCCAAGGCUAAAUACUCCUGACUGACCGAUAGUGAACCAGUACCGUGAGGGAAAGGCGAAAAGAACCCCGGCGAGGGGAGUGAAAAAGAACCUGAAACCGUGUACGUACAAGCAGUGGGAGCACAGGUUUACCUGUGUGACUGCGUACCUUUUGUAUAAUGGGUCAGCGACUUAUAUUCUGUAGCAAGGUUAACCGAAUAGGGGAGCCGGAGGGAAACCGAGUCUUAAYYGGGCGUUAAGUUGCAGGGUAUAGACCCGAAACCCGGUGAUCUAGCCAUGGGCAGGUUGAAGGUUGGGUAACACUAACUGGAGGACCGAACCGACUAAUGUUGAAAAAUUAGCGGAUGACCUGUGGCUGGGGGUGAAAGGCCAAUCAAACCGGGAGAUAGCUGGUUCUCCCCGAAAGCUAUUUAGGUAGCGCCUCGUGAAUUCAUCUCCGGGGGUAGAGCACUGUUUCGGCUAGGGGGCCAUCCCGGCUU